CUGUGGUUGAAAGUCGAUGCCAGUCGCAGGCGAAGCGAUCCACGUAAGGAAUCCAAAGCUGAUUCUGAUCAUAGUGCGGCCUAGAAGUAAGACCUGCCGCAAAAAGCGAGAGGGCGAGUCGUGAGGAGUUAACUCUUAGUAGCUAAAGUCCCAGCAGGCGAGUGUGGGGGUAAAGACCAGGUCAGGCA
rnacentral:ncRNA from 1 species